rnacentral:rRNA from 1 species
UACAGAGGUCUCGAGCGUUGUUCGGAUUCAUUGGGCGUAAAGGGUGUGUAGGUGGCGCCGUAAGUCGGGUGUGAAAUUUCGGAGCUUAACUCCGAAACUGCAUUCGAUACUGCGGUGCUUGAGGACUGGAGAGGAGACUGGAAUUCAUGGUGUAGCAGUAAAAUGCGUAGAGAUCAUGAGGAAGACCAGUGGCGAAGGCGGGUCUCUGGACAGUUCCUGACACUGAGGCACGAAGGCCAGGGGAGCAAACGGG